AUUGAACGCUGGCGGCGUGCUUAACACAUGCAAGUCGAACGAAGUGGCGAACGGGUGAGUAAUACGUGAGUAACCUGCCCUCCUUUUUGGGAUAAGCCUUGGAAACGGGGUCUAAUACCGGAUAAAGGGGGAUGGGCUCGUGGGCUGUGAGCUGGUGGGGGGGGUGAUGGCCUACCAAGGCGGUGACGGGUAGCCGGCCUGAGGGGGUGACCGGCCACAUUGGGACUGAGAUACGGCCCAGACUCCUACGGGAGGCAGAAGUGGGGAAUAGUGCACAAUGGGCGCAAGCCUGAUGCAGCCAUGCCGCGUGUAUGAAGAAGGCCUUAGGGUUGUAAAGUACUUUCAGCGGGGAGGCGUUACCCGCAGAAGAAGCACCGGCUAACUCCGUGCCAGCAGCCGCGGUAAUUC
rnacentral:rRNA from 1 species